rnacentral:lncRNA from 1 species
CAUGACGAAAGGAAAACAACGGACUCUAUACCGAACAAAGUUUUGGUCAAAUGAAAGAAACGUCUGAUAAACGACGAUGUAUCCCUGGUAUGCUUGGUACUGUACUCCUAGUAUGUUCAACAAUGUACUCCUUGUAAUUGAUCUCGAGUUUCCUGUUUUCUAUUUUGAAAUUAACACUCCUAUGUAUCGUACCGCUAUGUGCGCAUACAUACAAAUAAAAGUGCUUUACUAACUGAAAGGAUACUUUUAUACUAUGAUCCCCCAUGGUACCACUACCAUCGCCCGUCAUAUACAAGUUGUGAAUACUUAAGAUGAUUCAGGCAGUCGACUGAGCAUCUCUGCCUCAAAUCCUCAACCAAUUAAGGAAAGGGGACCUAAGCAGAGUCGCUCACUCUAGGUCUGCAACAUCUCAGUUGCGCACAACCCUGAUGUAUAUGGUGAGUCAUAAUAGCUUCUCUAAGGGAUCUUUUAAUUCUCUUGAAUAUUACGACCUAUUUCAACAUGUGAGUUGUUAUAGUUACUUUUAAGUGUCAUCCCCAAAUUUUAAUCUUAUAUGAAUAUAAAUUAAUUUUUAAAAGUAAGUACUAUUUUGAAAACGUACCACUACUCGACGACGACUCCGAGGUAGAUUCUCCUGCGGUGAUCAUCAGAAUACGUCCAUCCGCGCCUGAGUUCUUGAUUAUUGGGCAGUCCCUCUUAAUGUGUCCAUUCUCACCACAGCCAUAACAGGCUCGGUUUUCUUCAGCUCCGAGGACUUGGGAGAUCGGUUGAGCCGGUGCCCUGCAGUAACGGACUGUGUGUCCCUUUUUGUGGCAGUUCAGACACUGCAUUUCUCGGCACACUCCAGUGUGGUGAAAGUUGCACUUUCCACACUUUGGAAGGUUUCCAGCAUAACGACUGGCAGAUGCUGAAGCAGUAGGCGUCGUAGCGGCGUACAUAGUACUCGCUUGUUGCUCUUGUGGGAUGUCUUGUGUUGUUCGCUUCUUCUUUCUCUUGUUCUCCGACUCUUGAUUAUAGUCCUCUUCCCUUGAUGACUCGGGAAUAGGGACUUUUACGCUGUGGCGGACUCCAUGAUCGAUGAGUCGUUGAGCCAAGCGUUUAGCACUAUCGAACGUGGCUGGGUUAGAAGACAACACAUUUCCUUGGGUCGAAGCAGUCAGACCCCAAAUGUAUCUCUCUAUCUUCUUUUUUUCCGAGGUAAACCUCCCCGGGGCAUAGAGCUGCCAGUUCGCUGAACCGGUCCGUGUAGGUCACUAUGUCUGAGCCGACCAUAGUGAGAUCCCACAGCUCUUGUUCCGGUUUUUGAAUCUCGCCUAACGGGCAAUAUUCUUCCCGCAUUAACUCCUUUAGGUUUUCCCAACCUAUGGAGUUUGCCACUGAUAGGGUCAGUGACUUAACAUGGCUGUUCCACCAUGUUAGGGCCUUGCCAUAGAAGAUGCAGGCAGCAAACUUCACUUUGCUUCCUUCGGGGCAUAAAUAGAUUUCGAAGACCGAAUCUGUUUUCUCGAACCAUUGUAGGAGGGCAAUGACUCCUUCAGUCCCUUUAAAGGAUAGUGGUUGGCAUCUGGUGAAGUCCUUGUAGGAGAACUCUCCCUGGCGCACAGGGACCUCACCAUGAGUAGAAUCGGUAGGCGCUUCGCCUGCACCUGUACUGGUGGAGUGAUAUUGUGCCAUGGUUGUUGCCACAGCCGCAGCCACUGCAGCGUUCAGAGUUGCUGCAUCGAUUUGUGGAGAAGGUAUGGGAGUUAUCGAAGUAGCGUGUCUGGGUGAUCUGCGAGGAGGCAUCUUUGCUAAAAGAAAACAAAGAUGAGACGGAAUAAGUCUAUAGCAACGGACACAAGUCGAAAGCUGAAAAGACAAAGUUAUCCUAGUUCUAGAUGUAUUGUGUCCUUACUUCCAUAGGGUUCUAGGAACAAUUCAUAAAUGAGUCUAUACCUAAUAAACUCUAUGAAUUUGAAAUAACUAUCCUCGAAUGAAUAUCUGUUUCCUGAAUAACUAUUACCAGAUGUAUGUAUGAAAAUAAUUCUAACACAUGAAAUGUGAGCAGUGUUUCCACUCGCUCGCUAAAUUAACCUAGUUAAUAUUUAUUAGUGUGACGCGUAAGACGUUUUUGGUUACUUCGGCUGAUAUUUCCUUGAAAUCUUCUCAUUGGUUUGUCCUUGUUCCUCCUGAACUCUUCUGUUGUCUACUAUGAGGAAGUCGUUACGUUUAUUUGGGCUUGUCGUGUGAGAAUGAAAGUGACUAAAGAACCUAUGAGCUUUAAGGUAACUUUAUGGGGUGAUCCUUACGGAAUCUUCCUAUAAUUAUACUAGGUAUACCAAUUGGUAUUGUAUAUAAUUAAAGAUCAAAUAGACCUUCGAACAAUUGAUCCCACCUCAACACUACUUCCUUAAAAGGAAUGGAUAGCGAAGCGUCGGUCACAGAUUCUAUGUCUAUAAGAUCUUGAUUAUAUAUAAAACUUUAUGAAUAUACCCUGUAAGAUUAUAGACCUAUCCGCAAGGGUCUUUUAAGUUAUCACAUAAGUUAUGUAUCUAGACUAAAAUACUCCUAUAGUAUCCUAACGUAAUGUACUUGUUAUGUUCUAACCUUGUUAUCGCGCUAUCGUAUCAUAGAAUACUCCCAUAGUACUCUAACACUAACUGUACUUGUCCUGGCGUUCUCUUGACUGGUGUUCUGCUAAGUUUUAACCCUGUUGGAAACUCACUAUUAUACUUUUACAAUAAAUGGUUUUCAAAGAUGAAAAUGAUAUGUUUCUUAAAGGUUUUCACUUACAACGUAUUUCUGGAAAAUAUAGGAUUUUCUAGGAUUUUUUACCACUUAUGAUUGUAAAGUUGCAGCUUUUCAUACUAUCGGUUAUAAUGCUUUUAUACAAAAACUCACACUAAAUUCUUAUGAACUCACCAACUUUAUGCUGAUAUUCGUUUUCAAAAUAACUUGUAUCCUCAGGUCAAAGAUAGACAGGUACAAGUGCGGCAUUUUGGAGAAGGUGGAGCAUACAAGAUCCAUCUCUUAUUUUUGUAAUACUUUUGGUACUUGUUAAACAUUAUAAAACACACUUGUAAUUAAACUCGCUAUGUAAUGCAAUGGUUGUAUGUUUCUUGUUUUUACUAUUAUGCAACUGUGAUGGUACUGUACAUGACGUCCUCCACCCCGAAACGUAUUCCGCCGUUAUCAGUUUUGGGGUGUGACACUCUGCCUCAAAUCCUCAACCAAUUAAGGAAAGGGGACCUAAGCAGAGUCGCUCACUCUAGGUCUGCAACAUCUCAGUUGCGCACAACCCUGAUGUAUAUGGUGAGUCAUAAUAGCUUCUCUAAGGGAUCUUUUAAUUCUCUUGAAUA